rnacentral:rRNA from 1 species
GGGAUAUUGCACAAUGGGGGGAACCCUGAUGCAGCGACGCCGCGUGGGUGAAGAAGCGCCUCGGCGCGUAAAGCCCUGUCAGCAGGGAAGAAAAUGACGGUACCUGAGUAAGAAGCCCCGGCUAACUACGUGCCAGCAGCCGCGGUAAUACGUAGGGGGCAAGCGUUAUCCGGAUUUACUGGGUGUAAAGGGAGCGUGGACGGCCAGACAAGUCUGAAGUGAAAAUCCAGCGCUUAACGUUGGAAGUGCUUUGGAAACUGCCGGGCUAGAGUGCAGGAGGGGCAGGCGGAAUUCCUAGUGUAGCGGUGAAAUGCGUAGAUAUUAGGAGGAACACCAGUGGCGAAGGCGGCCUGCUGGACUGCAACUGACGUUGAGGCUCGAAGGCGUGGGGAGCAAAC